CGCUUCUUUUUCCACCGGAGCUUGCUCCACCGGAAAAAGAGGAGUGGCGAACGGGUGAGUAACACGUGGGUAACCUGCCCAUCAGAAGGGGAUAACACUUGGAAACAGGUGCUAAUACCGUAUAACAAUCGAAACCGCAUGGUUUUGAUUUGAAAGGCGCUUUCGGGUGUCGCUGAUGGAUGGACCCGCGGUGCAUUAGCUAGUUGGUGAGGUAACGGCUCACCAAGGCCACGAUGCAUAGCCGACCUGAGAGGGUGAUCGGCCACAUUGGGACUGAGACACGGCCCAAACUCCUACGGGAGGCAGCAGUAGGGAAUCUUCGGCAAUGGACGAAAGUCUGACCGAGCAACGCCGCGUGAGUGAAGAAGGUUUUCGGAUCGUAAAACUCUGUUGUUAGAGAAGAACAAGGAUGAGAGUAACUGUUCAUCCCUUGACGGUAUCUAACCAGAAAGCCACGGCUAACUACGUGCCAGCAGCCGCGGUAAUACGUAGGUGGCAAGCGUUGUCCGGAUUUAUUGGGCGUAAAGCGAGCGCAGGCGGUUUCUUAAGUCUGAUGUGAAAGCCCCCGGCUCAACCGGGGAGGGUCAUUGGAAACUGGGAGACUUGAGUGCAGAAGAGGAGAGUGGAAUUCCAUGUGUAGCGGUGAAAUGCGUAGAUAUAUGGAGGAACACCAGUGGCGAA
rnacentral:rRNA from 1 species